GGGAAUUAUUGGGUGCUCACAAAGCACAGACUCCCACUAAAAAUACAUGGAUCCCACUUUCCAUAAACAAGGAAAAGUUAAAUAUUUAUAUCUAAUGGUCCACUAUUUUUUAGUGCUACCAAUGUGCUGUAUAAUUUCCCCUAACAUACAUGACUCAAGAAAUCAAGAGUGUUUCAGCAAACAUAAGAGCAUCAGAAAGCAAAAUCUCAAUUGAAACUAUAGGUAAAUACUGCACAAACGAAAAUGCCCACAAGGAAACCCAUCUUCGAAAUUAACCCAAGAAUAAGCACAUGAUAUGCACACAUAAAACAUCCAACAUGAAGAAAAGAUACAUCUGACUAAGAAACGCCUUGGAAGGACAGCCGAUCUCGGAGAGUAUCAAAAAUUGAUGAUGCUGCUGUGUUUUGUGCAAAACUCAAUUUCAAUCGUCCAAGCAAUUCCCCAUCUUUUGCUUGGGAAGCAGCAUCAGCAGCUUCCUUUGCCAUGCCAAUCCGAGCAUAAGCCUUAGAAAAUUCAAAAUCCUUUGAGUAAAGUUGCACAAGAAUGGCUAAAAUAAAUAUGAGACAGACAAGGGAAAAUGAUCUUAUUACCUCAGCUCUUUCUCUAGGAUCCCCAAGUUUUGGAAUAUAUUUCAGAGCUUCCCCUUUUUCAUCAGCAUCAAUGCAUGCUUCCACAAAUGGUCUAUAACCUACUUGAUGCCGAUAAUAUCUCAUUACAAAGAAGAAAAUACAAGUUUCUGGACUGAAAGUUACUAGUCACACAUUAUUCCCAUAUUUGAUACAUGCUUAUGUGAUGAAUGCAAGCAGGGUGAUUGGAUCACUGAACGUAGUAGAUAUCCAAUAUCUUCAAUGAACUUUAACUUUGUAUAGAUGUAAUCAUCAUAGACAAAUUUGCCAAGAAGGCGGUGAAUCCCACCACUUGAAAAUCAACUCCAGUUAGUAAUCUCACCUAAAAUGGUGGAGUACACUCCCUAAGCAUGGUUGCCAUGUUGAUUUUUCAGGUGAAGUUGUUCACUGGAGUCUUAGCAAUUUUGGCAAUUAUUACAAAAUUGUAGACGACAUUGAAGCUCAACAACUAAUAGAAAAAAUCAAAAUUUAAUGAUUGAGGUGAAAUUAUUUCCUAGGUUCAGUGACCUUGCUCAAUCCAAGAAUAUUCAAUAUAAAAAAUAAAUAUAAAGGCAGCAGAUAUCAAUCGACACAA
rnacentral:misc_RNA from 1 species